GCGGGUGUAGUUUAGUGGUAACCACAGCCUUCCAAGCUGUUGUCGCGAGUUCGAUUCUCGUCACCCGCU
rnacentral:tRNA from 1 species